rnacentral:tRNA from 1 species
GUUGUGGCUCAGUGGUAGAGCACUUGUCCAGCAAGUGUGAGGCCCUGGGUUCGAUUCUCAGCACACA